UACAGAGGUCUCAAGCGUUGUUCGGAUUCAUUGGGCGUAAAGGGUGCGUAGGUGGCGCUGUAAGUCGGGUGUGAAAUUUCGGAGCUUAACUCCGAAACUGCAUUCGAUACUGCGGUGCUUGAGGACUGGAGAGGAGACUGGAAAUUCAUGGUGUAGCAGUGAAAUGCGUAGAGAUCAUGAGGAAGACCAGUGGCGAAGGCGAAUCCCUGGACAACUCCGUGACACUGAGGCACG
rnacentral:rRNA from 1 species